AACGAACGCUGGCGGCAUGCCUAACACAUGCAAGUCGAACGAGACCUUCGGGUCUAGUGGCGCACGGGUGCGUAACGCGUGGGAACCUGCCCUUAGGUUCGGAAUAACUCCCCGAAAGGGGUGCUAAUACCGGAUAAUGUCUUCGGACCAAAGAUUUAUCGCCUUUGGAUGGGCCCGCGUUGGAUUAGCUAGUUGGUAGGGUAAAAGCCUACCAAGGCGACGAUCCAUAGCUGGUCUGAGAGGAUGAUCAGCCACACUGGGACUGAGACACGGCCCAGACUCCUGCGGGAGGCAGCAGUGGGGAAUAUUGGAAAAUGGGCGAAGGCCUGAUGGAGCAAUGCCGGGUGAGUGAUGAAGGCCUUAGGGUAGUAAAGCUCUUUUACCCGGGAUGAUAAUGACAGUACCGGGAGAAUAAGCGCCGGCUAACUCCGUG
rnacentral:rRNA from 1 species